AAUGUUGACGAGACAAAUGAAAACAUUAAGAACGAAGAGGACAUAAAUAUUUGGAUCUGAUUUAAGUAUAGCCUACUCUAUUGUGCAUGAUUUUGAGGUAGUUCAAACCAAUCCAGUUAAUGUUUUUGGAAGCGGAUGGGAGUUUGGGAGUGUCUGUAGCAUCUAUGGGUCAGGUGAUGUUUACAAGAAUCACUCUAACACAGUCGAGCGCCUUGGAUUCAAUCCAUUAUCUGCUGGACAGGACAGACUAUUGUCUAGAAUAUUUAGGGAAAAGAUAGGCAGUAUGCAGUUUGAUAAAUCCAUGUUUGGCGAAUCUACGAAGUUCACCAAUGAUGACAAAACGAUUGACAUUGCCGCCCCUGUUAAGUCGAAAAAUCUCAAAAAAUUUGCUGAUACUUAGUACCGGCGUAACAUUGUUACAUAUUGCAAUAUUUGGCCUCCGGAAUCUGCAGAGCAGCAUGAAUAGUGAAGGUGGACUUGGUGUCUACUCACUAGCAACGCUAUUCGGAGCCUUUAUGUUUGGAAGUUUGGCAAGUCCAUUUAUUGUUCAAAGAUAUAAACCAAAACUAUGUAUGUCUGUAUCUUGUUUCGGGCAUUUAGUUUACGUUGUUGCUACCUAUUUCCCAAGCUUCUAUGUUAUCAUUCCUGCCUCAGUUAUCUAUGGUUUAAGCAAUGCCUUGUUAUGGAAUGCUCUGUGCACAUACAUCACGGAGCUGGGACUCGACGAAGCUUUUCUGAAGAGAAAGAUCACCAGCAGUGUACUAAGCCGCUACUUUGGCAUCUUUUUCCUGGUGCUGCAGAUGUCAAUGGUUCUCGGAAAUCUUAUAUCCUCUAUAAUCUUUUCACAGUCGGAUAAAAGAAUGAAACUGCAUCAAGACGAUCGUGCAAUAACUGAAAAUAUAAACAAUGCAUCAACAAUUAUCUACGAAUUCAUCUCAAAUGGUACCGGUACCGAGUUAACGGAUAUAAACUUUAACGAAGCAGUGGCCAAGGGUAAAUGUGGUGCUGCCCACUGUGAGUUGAGCUCUGACAGUGAGUCAAAAUCAAAUGUUGACGAUCUCGAUAAACUAUUCUUACUUGGGACAUAUUCCAGUUGCGCAGUUCUAUCCAUUUUGGUCAUUCAGUGCUUUUUGGACAAACUUCCAAACUAUACACCACAUCGUUUAACUCUGAGGGAAUCUUUGAAACAAGCAGGAUCCGUUGUUGCUAUGGUGAUAGACCCUAAGUUUUGCUUUAUCGUAAUGCUGUGCCUCUACACUGUAAUUAGCAAUGGUUUUGUUGUUGCAGACGUCCUCAAGGCAUAAGUUACAUGUCCACUUGGUGUGAGAAUGGUAGGAUACUCGAUGAUAUGUUUUGGAAUCUGCGGCUCAAUUAGUUCUUACAUAUUUGGGAAACUGGCUAAAUGUACAGGCAACCUGGCAGCAUUUAUAGUGGCGCCAUCAGACGAGGCAAGGCCAAUUCCUGAUUGACAGCAAGUUAAUUUUGAUCAUUUGAUUUCAGUGGUUUAAAUUAAGUAACCAAGUUACUGUUACUUAAUCUUCAAUUGUCCAAAAUAACAGUCGGGCGAUGAUCAACUGGUGGCAUAUUGACGAAAGGAUUUGGUUAGUGUGAUGAGUUUGUGCACUCAAUGUAGUGUUUGCACCUUUACGAAGGGGUCAUAGGUUAACUAUGAUGAAGAGAUGUGACUCUUAUCGAGUGUUAGAUUGUUUACCAAGGUAUGAUAUUUCUAUUUGACAUGAAAUAAAAUGUGACGAUGCGAGAGUCUUUCGCCAAAGAGCCAAAGAAAAUAAAAAGAAUACAAUGAUCAACAAGGAGAGUGAGUUGCAUGGAACGCAGUCUCCAAAAUGUUCAGUAUCUUGCACGAGUAAGCGUAUGUGCCCACACGUUUCCAAGUCACAACACAAUAUGAUUCUUAAAUCACUUAAGGACAUACUUACCAAUGUUACACUACCUUUGCAAAGGUCCAUUAUGUAUAUGAUUCCACAGGGAGAAUAAAGCGUUGGGCUUUAUUUGACACACAUUAAAGUGAUUGCAUUAAGCUAUUUUUAUCCGGCAAAAGGAUUUCCUUGUAAUCUGCCCGAAAGAAUUUCGGCGUAUGAUGUUAUGCACAAGGUCGUCCGUCCGUCCGUUCUGCAGUUCGUUAGUAAUUUCGUGCCUGCUUUUUAUCUGGAAAGACAUUGAAACUACAUGGCAGAAAUGUAAACCAUGAGGCAAUGUUUGGGCCUCCUCACUUUGUAUCUUUUGAACCGACGGAAGGAUCUUAAAAUUAUUUUGGCAGAAAUGUAAAUCAAUAUGAAAAGAACGAUUGGCUUCCUCAAAUCAAGGUAAAGGUCAUUUAAAAUCCUGAUUAAGGUAUACAUAUGUAUAUCAAAAGGAGAAUACUCUGUAAGUACUUUGUUGAUCUAUUUUUAGAAUAGAUUACCCUUGCAGGUAUGUGAAUACCCUAUCGGGAAGUAAAGGGGCGUAGUGAAGGUAUCUGUUUAAGUGAAAUGACGAAAUGAUUGUAAGCUGUUCAGUUUAUACACGCGCAGCAAGUAGUGUUUUCAUUUUUCUUUGAAUUAUUCAGAUUUAGGAAUACAUGAUAAUUUUUAUUGGAAAGCAAGAGAAACAGUUGGUAGCUUUAUCUGCUGUUUGACCACCACUGUCUUAAAUAGAAAGCUUUUGUGACAGUAUUUUGUCACUUGCAGCUGUCAUGAGGAUCAUUUAGAUUUCAUGAAUCAUCAUAAUCUGUAUCUCUCCCAGUAUGGUGCUUGAUUCCUCAAACAAAUUUGCAUUCGGGCGUAUACUGAUCCGACUUUGUCCGGUACUCUAGUUCAUAUUCAAUUCGAUCACAUGCCGUUACUCUUUUGCCCCUUUCUUCGACCAAGCAGGGAUAUAAACAUAUAGGUAAGUUACAAGGUUUAUUGUGUUUCAGUUUUCAGGUAGGACAGUUGCCAUCCCUAUGUCGACGGUACUUUAAUCUUUGCAAGCUCGGUGGUAAGCGUUCAUUUACUUCAAAUUAAUUUAAUCCUUUUUUUAAUAUGAAUUUCACGGUAUUGAAAUGAUGUAAUUUUUACUUUGUAGCGUCUGCGUUGAAUGUGACCUCACUUGCGUUGAUGGCGGUUUGGGAACCAUCUAGUGACGACCAAUACUUGUUGUUUGCUUUCAUUGGUGCUUGGGGAUUUGCAGACGGCAUUUGGCAGUCUCAGAUUAAUAGUUUAAUAUCAUCACUGUUUGCUGAUAGAUAUGAAACUGCGUUCGGAUGUUGUCGGGUUCUACAAGGACUUGCUGGAAUCAUUGUGUUCACGUUGUCAAACAUGUUAUGUAUGAUGUCAAAAAUUAUUUUCACUACAGCGACAUGCAUUCUGUCUGUUGUGCUUUAUAUUGCUAUGGAGGUUAUUGGACGGAGGUCAAGAGCUACCGGUACAUCUAUUGGGACUGAAAUUUAUGUGAAAUAGGAAGUUGGAGGAUUAACCCUGAAAUACAUUAUAUUGUGAAGUAGAGUCAUACAAAUGUGUGGACUAUAAAUGUUCUAGGGACCAUUUCCACGAACUUAUUCCGAGUAUUCAGUGAAAAUGGAAAUUCAUGACAGCAAGAAAUACAGCUCUUAAAUCAUUGCACA